GCUUAUCACCAUUCCAGAUUGAAUAUAUCCGAUCUCGUCUGAUGUCGGAAGUCAAGCAAUCUCGGGCUUGGUUAGUACUUGGAUGGGUGACCGCUUGAGAAUACCAAGUGUGAUAAGCA
rfam:Ciona savignyi cont_35347, whole genome shotgun sequence.